GGAACCACUUAGUUCGAAGAAAUCCUGAUCUAGCUAAGGUCUUAGGUGUUUCUAUCUGCUUUCAAGAAGAUCAGACUCGGAUGGCCCAGGAUAGCAUCGACGAUGUCCUGACUCAGACAAUGAGUUUGGGCCUGAAGGCGGUUGCGAACCAACAAGUGCUUAGGGAGAAUGCCCAUCUCUUAAGGAGGGAGAUCAUUAAGGCGGUCCAAAAUGUAGCAGCUGCAAAGACUCAACUCUCGGCAACCAAUGAUCAAAUCGCUAACUUAGAAGGCCAGGUGAGGUCUUAUGAGGAAAGGACAGCUCAACUGGAGCCGGAACUUGAGGACUCUCGGGCCUGCCGAGUUGCUGAUCUAGCUUGACUUUCUAACGAGAUCAAGGCCAAGGAGAAAGAGGCUCUGAUGAAAGAGGCCAGUGCUUAUGUAAAUGCCCAUAGCAAUCUCUUAGCCGAGCUAGUGAAGCGCUACCCUGAAGAAGACUUUAUCUGGCUGGAGAAGCUCGCCUCGGGAGCUAAGGUUGAGAGUGAAGAGAAGCGAGAGAGAGAGGAGGGAGAGAAUAUUGAAAAUGUACCCGAAGAGCAGGCUAGGGAAGACCCUCCUGCAGAAUGACUUGUACAUUUUUAUUUU
rnacentral:misc_RNA from 1 species